GACGAACGCUGGCGGCGUGCUUAACACAUGCAAGUCGAGCGGUAAGGCCUUUCGGGGUACACGAGCGGCGAACGGGUGAGUAACACGUGGGUGAUCUGCCCUGCACUUCGGGAUAAGCCUGGGAAACUGGGGCUAAUACCGGAUAUGACCUCCUAUUGCAUGGUGGGUGGUGGAAAGAUUUAUCGGUGCAGGAUGGGCCCGCGGCCUAUCAGCUUGUUGGUGGGGUAAUGGCCUACCAAGGCGACGACGGGUAGCCGACCUGAGAGGGUGACCGGCCACACUGGGACUGAGACACGGCCCAGACUCCUACGGGAGGCAGCAGUGGGGAAUAUUGCACAAUGGGCGGAAGCCUGAUGCAGCGACGCCGCGUGGGGGAUGACGGCCUUCGGGUUGUAAACCUCUUUCAGCUGGGACGAAGCGCAAGUGACGGUACCUGCAGAAGAAGCACCGGCUAACUACGUG
rnacentral:rRNA from 1 species